rnacentral:tRNA from 1 species
GGCCUCGUAGCUCAGCUGAUAGAGCAAUCGAGGUGCUAAGGCGAGGAUGGCGACCAUGCGUAGGUUCGAAUCCCGCUGAGGCCA